GGGCUUCAGAGUCAGAGCACCUCCAUACACUCCUCUCCUGAGGUGCUGACAGACCCAGUGCUGCCUGUGCACCGCUCCUGACCCCGCCAGCGGAGAUGUCCUGCCAGCAGAACCAGCAGCAGUGCCAGCCCCCUCCCAAGUGUCCCGCGCCCAAGUGCCCCCCAAAGUGUCCCCCCAAGUGCCCCCCAGUCUCUUCCUGCUGCGGCUCCAGCUCUGGGGGAGGCGGCUGCUGCAGCUCUGGGGGCGGCGGCUGCUGUAGCUCUGGGGGCAGCGGCUGCUGCCUGAGCCACCACAGGCGACGCAGUUCCCACCGUCACAGACACCAGAGCUCUGGCUGCUGCAGCCAGCCCUCGGGGGGCUCCAGCUGCUGUGGAGGGGGCAGCGGUCAGUCGUCUGGAGGCUGCUGCUGAAGUGGACCCUGAGCCAAGGAGCGCGGGCUUGGGGACAGCGAGUGGCCAAAGCCUUCCUCCUGUUCCUGCUCCCCCUGCUGGGCCUGCCCAAGGGGCUGAGGGGUCUGAGUGCAGCCUUGAGCUCUGGCCCAGAGGAUCCCUGUGCCCUGGUGCCCAGAAGCCACAACCCCUCCCCCAAACCCAUUUACUCACCUCCUCCCCCAUAUGUGUGGCUGCCCUGGGAACCCAAAGCACAGACCCUAGGUCCUUCAGGAGCUUACCUUGUUGUAAACCCAGCCUGAUGUGAAACAAUAAAACUAGAAAUCUUCAUGCC